AGUGGAAUGAAACUUAAAGGCAAAGACGCUCUACGGAUAUAAAGCAGGUAUUUGGAUAAGCCAUAAGGGGUCUGUUCAACUGGAGUGUGAUGACCCUCACCGCUGGAAAUCACUUUUGUGAUCAAGAGUGUCUCCUCUCCUAGAUACUGAGACCCCCACCAGGUGAAAGAAGUUAACUGCAUGCUGACCACAAGUACAUUGACCCCAGACAGGCUGGAACCAGAAUGCUGAUGAUGUUGACUCCCAAUUACCUCAGCACCAACCAAUCAGAAGAAUGUCCAUGAGCUGAUCAAGCACCCCACAACCAUCUCUCUCAUCCUGUCUUUAAGCCAUUGGGGAGUUUGGGUCUUUUGAUCAUUAGCUGC